rnacentral:lncRNA from 1 species
GCUGGUCCUUCAGGAGGUGACGGAGAAGCUGCGGAGGGUCAACCAGAGCCUGGAGCUGAUGCUGACGGCCUUGGAAGACGCACAAAUCCGUCUGGAAAAACACCUGGAGCACCUCAGAGCCAUCCCUGAGCUGGAUGGUGAGCGGGAAUGGGGGUGGAGGAUGGGUGGGAGCUGGUGGGUGCCACCACCAGGAUCUUCUUCCCCAUCCCACAGGUCAGAGCCAGAGUUCCACCUCCUCCUGCGUGCCAUACUUGACGCUCCUGGUUCUCCCACUGGUGCCGGCGUCGUUCCAGGCCAUCUUUCUCCUCCUCUUCCUCGCUUCCAGCGCCCUCGGCAUCUCAGCAAUCUCCACUUUCCUGGUCCUUGCUGCAGCAGGGCAUUGGCUGCUGGCUUCCGCCUGCCAUGGUGCCGGAAGGAUCCGGCCGGUGGUUCCCCGGGAAGAGCCCCGCUACCGGCUCACCUCCACCCCGGAGAGGGAAUGCGAUAUGGAGCUGCUGCAAGAGGAGCUGGACAAGAUGGAGAUGAGCUGCCUGCAAGAUGAGAGGUGCCCACAAGACCCUUCGCACCUGGAGCAGCCCCAAGAGGUGGCCGAGGACAUUCCCAGAUUCACAGGGCAGGUGUCACCCAACUCCGGUGGCCAGAGGACAGCACUGAACUCGUGUGGGGUGACACCGGAGCCGCUGAUGGAUGCUGGGAAGCUCUGGGAGACCAACCCCUGCAGCCCAAGGGCCA